rnacentral:rRNA from 1 species
GACGAACGCUGGCGGCGUGCUUAACACAUGCAAGUCGAACGGAAAGGCCCUGCUUGCCGGGUACUCGAGUGGCGAACGGGUGAGUAACACGUGGGUGAUCUGCCCUGCACUUCGGGAUAAGCCUGGGAAACUGGGUCUAAUACCGGAUAGGAGCCAUUUUUUGUGUGAUGGUUGGAAAGUUUUUUCGGUGUAGGAUGAGCUCGCGGCCUAUCAGCUUGUUGGUGGGGUAAUGGCCUACCAAGGCGGCGACGGGUAGCCGGCCUGUGAGGGUGGACGGCCACCUUGGGACUGAGAUACGGCCCAGACUCCGACGGGAGGCAGCAGUGGGGAAUAUUGCACAAUGGGCGCAAGCCUGAUGCAGCGACGCCGCGUGGGGGAUGACGGCCUUCGGGUGGUAAACUCCUUUCGCUAGGGACGAAGCUUUUUGUGACGGUACCUAGAUAAGAAGCACCGGCUAACUACGUG